GCGUUGUCCGGAUUUAUUGGGCGUAAAGAGAACGUAGGUGGUUUCUUAAGUUUGGUCUUAAAGACCGGGGCUCAACCCCGGGAAUGGACCGAAUACUGGGAGACUAGAGGAUGUUAGAGGAAAGUGGAAUUCCAAGUGUAGCGGUGAAAUGCGUAGAUAUUUGGAGGAACACCAGUGGCGAAAGCGGCUUUCUGGGACAUUCCUGACACUGAGGUUCGAAAGCUCG
rnacentral:rRNA from 1 species